GAUGAACGCUGGCGGCGUGCCUAAUACAUGCAGGUCGAGCGAACGGGCGCGAAGCUUGCUUCUCGGAUGGUAGGGGCGGACGGGUGGGGAACACGUGGAUAACCUCCCUAUAAGACUGGGAUAACAACGGGAAACCGGAGCUAAUACCAGAGAAUAUUUUGGACCGCAUGGUUCAAAAGUGAAAGACGGUCUUGCUGUCACUUGUAGAUGGAUCCGCGCUGCAUUAGCUAGUUGGUAAGGUAACGGCUUACCAAGGCAACGAUGCAUAGCCGACCUGAGAGGGUGAUCGGCCACACUGCAAGUGCGGCACGGUCGAGACUCCUACGGGAGGCAGCAGUAGGGAAUCUUCCGCAAUGGGCGAAAGCCUGAUGGAGCAACGCCGCGUGAGUGAUGAAGGUCUUUGGAUCGUAAAGCUCUGCUAUUAGGGAAGAAGAUAUGUGUAAGUAACUGUGCACAGCUUGACGGUACCUAAUCAGAAAGCCACGGCUAACUACGUG
rnacentral:rRNA from 1 species